GCGAAAGCGAGUCUUAAUAGGGCGCUUUAGUCAGUAGUGGUAGACGCGAAACCGUGUGAUCUACCCAUGGGCAGGUUGAAGUUUAGGUAACACUAAAUGGAGGACCGAACCGUUUAACGCUGAAAAGUUUUCGGAUGACCUGUGGGUAGGGGUGAAAGGCCAAUCAAACUCGGAAAUAGCUCGUACUCCCCGAAAUGCAUUUAGGUGCAGCGAUGAUCAUAGUUACUUAGAGGUAGAGCUACUGAUUGGAUGCGGGGGCUUCACCGCCUACCAAUUCCUGACAAACUCCGAAUGCUAAUUAAUGAUAAUCAUCAGUGAGGGCAUGGGUGCUAAGGUCCAUGUCCGAGAGGGAAAGAACCCAGACCAUCAGCUAAGGUCCCCAAAUGUAUGCUAAGUUGAAAAAACGCGGUUUGAUUGCCCAGACAGCUAGGAUGUUGGCUUGGAAGCAGCCAUUCAUUUAAAGAGUGCGUAACAGCUCACUAGUCGAGCGAUCGAGCAUGGAUAAUAAUCGGGCAUAAGUAUACUACCGAAGCUAUGGAUUUACGUUUUAAACGUGAGUGGUAGGGGAGCAUUCUAUCGACGUAGAAGCCGUAUUGUGAGAUAUGGUGGAGUUUAUAGAAAAGAAAAUGUAGGCAUAAGUAACGAUAAGGGGUGCGAGAAACACCCCCGCCGUAAGACUAAGGUUUCCUGAGCUAUGCUAAUCAGCUUAGGGUUAGUCGGGACCUAAGGCAGACCCGAAGGGGGACGUCGAUGGCCAACGGGUUAAUAUUCCCGUACUACUAAUAAUUGUGAUGGAGUGACACAGUGAUGAAAGCACCGCGAACUGACGGAAUAGUUCGUUGAAGCACGUACCUAUAUUCCCUAUAGUAAAAUGCGUAGGGGAUGGAGAAAUGCGAUAGUACUCAGCGUUUUCGAACAACGAGAUAGUGUGCCUAAGGGCUGUCAAGAAAAGCUUCUAAACUUAGAUUAUUAGUACCCGUACCGUAAACCGACACAGGUAGUCGAGGAGAGUAUCCUAAGGCGCUCGAGAGAUUCAUGGCUAAGGAACUAGGCAAAAUAGACCUGUAACUUCGGGAGAAAGGUCGCCAGCGCAAGCUGGCCGCAGUGAAAAGGUCCAGGCGACUGUUUAUCAAAAACACAGGGCUCUGCAAAAUCGUAAGAUGAAGUAUAGGGCCUGACACCUGCCCGGUGCUGGAAGGUUAAGAGGGGAUGUCAUCGCAAGAGAAGCAUUGAAUCGAAGCCCCAGUAAACGGCGGCCGUAACGAUAACGGUCCUAAGGUAGCGAAAUUCCUUGUCGGGUAA
rnacentral:rRNA from 1 species